rnacentral:rRNA from 1 species
AGAGGGGGACAACAGUUGGAAACGACUGCUAAUACCGCAUGAAGCAUAGGGGUCGCAUGAUCUUUAUGCCAAAGAUUUAUCGCUUCAAGAUGGCCUCGCGUCUGAUUAGCUAGUUGGCGGGGUAACGGCCCACCAAGGCGACGAUCAGUAGCCGGACUGAGAGGUUGAACGGCCACAUUGGGACUGAGAUACGGCCCAGACUCCUACGGGAGGCAGCAGUGGGGAAUAUUGGGCAAUGGGCGCAAGCCUGACCCAGCAACGCCGCGUGAAGGAAGAAGGCUUUCGGGUUGUAAACUUCUUUUAAGAGGGAAGAGCAGAAGACGGUACCUCUAGAAUAAGCCACGGCUAACUACGUGCCAGCAGCCGCGGUAAUACGUAGGUGGCAAGCGUUGUCCGGAUUUACUGGGUGUAAAGGGCGUGCAGCCGGGUCUGCAAGUCAGAUGUGAAAUCCAUGGGCUCAACCCAUGAACUGCAUUUGAAACUGUAGAUCUUGAGUGUCGGAGGGGCAAUCGGAAUUCCUAGUGUAGCGGUGAAAUGCGUAGAUAUUAGGAGGAACACCAGUGGCGAAGGCGGAUUGCUGGACGAUAACUGACGGUGAGGCGCGAAAGUGUGGGGAGCAAACAGGAUUAGAUACCCUGGUAGUCCACACUGUAAACGA